ensembl:lncRNA
CAGAACCAGACCUUGGACCACUGGACCAGACUAUGCCUCAGGGCCCUGACACCUGUGGCCACCAGAAAAUUUUAAAGAUAUGUGUGAUUCACAUUUGUGGCUCGCAUCUCACCUCCAUCAGACGGUGCUGCUUGGAGGACACUUGGUCUCGGAACAGGGAGAGGAUUGCUGCGGAUUUACUGCUCUCAUGCCGAGAUCUGCAAAAUGAGACAAGAGGCGGUAAGGCCAGGACAUAGAAGGUGCCUGGUAAAAGUGAGUUUCCUUUUCUCCUUCCUCCAAAAGCAAGAGAAGGCACCCCUGCAGAAGACACGCACCCACUGGCCAUGGGAGAAUCCGUAGGCAGGAAACCCGACGACAAAGCCUUCAGCGGCUCCCUGUUUCUUACCACAGCGAGUCUGGGGGCCUUGACACCAUGGCCCACAAAGAAGACACACCCAUUCUGACACCAGACAUUCUGUCCCGACGCCAGUGUUCAGACUCAUUUUCCAAAACCCACAUCUGAUUAACUCAGUCCCUGAAAUUCUCUCCAAGGUCCACCCUUUCCUGUAGAAUAAGGUCCAGCUCCAGACUGCUGUCUUCACGGUCCUCAUGGUCCAGCCCCAUCCUCCCUCCCAGGACUCAUCCGACCCCUCCCCAUCACGCAGACAUGG